UACUUUGUAUGCCAGUUUUAACGGUAAAUACUGGAUAUGUCUUACGUGUGAUCGUACCCUGUCUAAAGGAUCCAUGCCUAUACAGUCCAUAGCAAACAAUUUGUCAUUAGCUUCUGUACCCCCUGAGCUUGCCUGUUUGAACAAACUAGAGACAAGAUUGCUAUGUCUUAGGGUGGCUUUUAUGAAAAUGGUUGCCCUUCCAUCUGGUAAACAAAGGUGUAUCCAUGGUCCCGCUGUAAAUGUUCCUAUAAACCUUGACAGUGUUGUUCAAACAUUGCCUGGGUUACCUGAUCAAAGUCAGCUUGUCCCACUAAAAUUCAAAAGAAAAUUAGAAUACAAAGGCCACUAUAUGUACGAAUACGUUACUCCAGAAAAGAUUUUCAGUGCCCUAGACUGGCUUAAAGCAAACCACCCCAAUUAUGCUAGCAUUAAGAUUAAUUCUGACUGGUCCAAACAUUCAGAAGAGUUGGAUGAUGAAAAAUACAGUUAGUGAUUCUUCUGGUGACCUUUCUAGCGACCUUUGUGGUGUUAGUACUUUCCCAGAUAAAAGCUCUUUGAAGGGUGUUAGCACCUCCUUGCCUGGAGAUAGAGUGGCCACCACAGAUUUAAAAUCCCAUAGUGCCCACCAAUAUAGUAAUUUGUUUGGGUUAACUCCCUGUAUAUGGGAUGCUUCUAAAUAUUUAGAGAGUUUUGCCUCUGGCUGUAAUUUGACUAUUCAUAAUGUGCCAGGAGAUGGCAACUGUUUAUUCUGGUCAGUGCUAAAUACCAAGACUGUGUGCAGUAUUAGUGCCCCUGAAACCUGAGACAGAUGGUAGCCUCUUACAUGGAAAACCAUGGUGACCAUUUCAGCAACUUUUUAGCUGCCCUCUAGUAACCCAUACCCUCUAGUAACCCAUAUGACAAUGAUACAGUAUGACAAUGAUACAGAGGCUCCCACUAUUGAGGAUGCUUGCAUUGAUAGUAUGGCUGAUCCUGAUUUGCAGUUACUAGCCAGGUGGACUAGAUAUCUUGAAAGGCUUAGACACGGUGCCUGGGGAGAUAACCUAUGUAUAGCAGCAAUAGCUGACAUCUUCUCUGUUACCAUCAAGCUGCGAAUGAAAAAGAUGUAAUAUUCUUACAGUUAAGCCUCAAAAUGGGUCUACUUUAUUUGAAGUUAACAUUGGACUUAUACUACAAUGGCACUUCGUAGGCCUUGAUGUGAUAACCAAGCUAAGUGAGCCUACUAUCAGCUUGGGGUCAUCUGCAGGUUCAUCUCAUACUUCGCACAGGGUACAUGUAUAUCUACCAGUACUGUUGAUGAUACUACUAGUUGUGAUGAUGAUACUGUAUCUACCGGUACUGCUACUAGUUGUGAUGAUGAUGAUACUGUAUCUCCUGAAUUUGAAAUAGAUGAUAAAACAUUUGAUGAAGGAGAUGAGCAAACCAGACACAUUACAGGUGGUCCUACAGCUAGUAUGAUGUCCAUUGAAAACCCUGAAGCGUUUGCUGAGAUAGUGUGCCUAGCACCGGGUGAAAACCAAAGGCCAUUGUACAUAAUGUCUGACACUAAUUUUGAGGCUAUGAGUAACCCUGAAAAGUUUCCAUAUUGCUUUAGUGCCGACAGACCUAACAAGUUGACUUCUGUUAGAGAAUCAGUAGCAUAGAAUCAGGCAAGAUUGUAGGAAGAAACAGUGCGUUAACUAGUACUAGUACUACUCUACUCCAAGAAAAGAGUUUAGGACAGGUUAGAACCUCGCAGCAUUAGCAGUAAAGAAGCUAGGUCUGUUUAAGGAUAAAAAACGGAAGCAAGAGCAAGACGCUGUCAGGAAUUGCUUCCUGUUUUUAAUUAAAACGGUCCUUGGCCAUCCGACUGUGUGACUAGGAUCAUAGCUAGAUAAAAAGCUACCUCAAGCUAGAAAAUAUCUCUUGGAUCUGGUAGCAUCUUUAGUCUUGAUAGCACUGUAUUUAGGCUAGUUAGUACAACAGUGUAGUUAGUACAGCAGUGGACAUCAUGAGCGCCACCAUUGAACUUGUAAACCUGUGUGUAGGUGAAGAAAACAUUUCCCGGGAAAAGGGCGUGUGUCUUUAGCACUCCGUGCCUUCAUACAAUAUUAUUUGUGUACAUAGUUGUGAAUGCUUGUAAACAAUUGCUAAUUAGUGGGGGUGGUCAGUUGCUAGGUAACGAAGAUGGUGUCAAGAUACCUCUGGGGUCUGGGCUACCUGUAGGAAAUAGUUACAAGUGUAUGGUUCAUGGCAUACAAAUUUUUAAAGAAAAUUGUUAUUUAUUCUGUAUUUUCUUGUUUUAAUUAAAACGGGGAAAGGGAAAGGGUUAAUAACCCUAUAAACUGCUGAAUAGCACUGUCACUGUAGUUAGACGUACCAAUUGAAUACACAACCGUGUACACGUAUAGUAUAUACACCAACGAAACCGCGACAACUCAUCUACUACUCCAGUACACUUUUAAUAAUACAAGCUCCAGAGGUGAUCUAAGUAACGCAUAGACAAGCUACAGGCUCUGGGCAGAAUUUGGUAUUGAGUACAGCUAAAUUUGUGCCUACAGUUGAGAUUUUAAAAGUAAAAUCCAACUCUUUCCAUCGAAGCGCCAAUCUUUCUAACGCGCAUAACUCGGGUAUGAAACUAGAUAGAACACUAAGUUAUGUAGGCAAUGCUAGGCAAUGCUCUGCUCUAUCACUUGGUACAUUAAUCAUUAAUCAACGAAAUUUUAGUCUGCUCCUGCUCCAAAUGUCUGGGAAAAGCCUGUCACAUAAUUAUACAAAUGAGAAAAGCCGCCCGCCCGCUUCAGGUCCCUUGGAGUGUGUAGCUUUCAAAACCUGGGUCACUUUAGAUUAUCGGUAAGAAUAGCUUGAAACAAUCUUAGCCUAAUAGAGGGGUGUGGCUGAAUUAUUGCUGUGCUGCCCAGCCCACGUAUAUAAGGUGGCAAUUAUUAUAAAAUGAGCCUAAAGUAUGCAGGUGAAGACAACUGUGAGUGAAGUAAAGUAUUCAUUAUCAUACCAUAUCACAUAAUGAAUGUUACAAACUAUGUAAUACACGCUAUAAGACGUACACAAUUAUAAUUAUUACAUGUGUUGGAAUCAUACUAAAUCAAACUGUGAAUCUUGAAAGAUAAUAAUAAUUAAAGUCGUAUCACAUAGCAACUGCAACUACUCUCGAUAGUCAACGGAUAAUGCUGAGCUAAAAAAUCAUGUACGACGAUAGGUUUAGGUCCUUUUGCUUACCCUAGGAAAUGGCGCCAAAAGGACACCUAUUUAAUCAGAAUGGACACAUCUGGCCAGCAGAAAACCAACGCCUUCCCCAGCCGAUGUACGAAACUACUUUUAAUAGUUAUGGCACACGCUCUAAGCUCAGCCGUCAAGUCAGAAGAAACAAACUCAUACGGAAAACUAAACAAACAAUACAGAAGUAAUUAGUCAUUAGAUUCAACACAGACAGAAGACUGUAAUGGGAAAUAGAAUUAAUUGGAGAAAGUUAGUUGGAGAAAGUAUGACAGAUUCUACCUUCAGGCUCCAGCGGCAGGAAAACCUGCUGUCUGAGGCCCAGGCAGUAGAGGUUGUAAAUACCCUCCUUCAUGCUAGAUCUGCAUAAUUAUGCACACAAAAAUUGACUAUUAAAUUUUGUUUCAAAGAUUGAUUGUAGAGGACGAAUAUAGCAGUCCCUACCCUCAGUGGGAGAGAACUUCUAGACAUCUUGUGUUUGGCUUGCAUUUGCACAGCUGCCAGCAUCUAUCAACUGGGGGAACUGAUCACACUUGUCUUUAUGACAUCUUCAAAUAUUGACAUCUUCAAAUAUUAUUUCUUUCUCUCCUAAUCCAGCCUUCAGCCUUUAAAAGAUCAUCCUUUUCAAUGCACGACAGGCCUCUUGCGUUUUUCUUGAGUGGGGUAAUUAAAUAGUUUGUGGACUUCAGAUUUUGCUUUUCUUUUUCCGUCUCGAAUACGGUCAGCAUACGUGUUCGUGUUCCUGCCUUCAUACGCUUUAACAUGUCGUCAGCAAGCUACAUGAAUGGUUGAUUAUGUCAAUGCAAUUUUAAUUUACAAUCCUUUAUUAGAGUUGUUGAUGGAGCACUUGUUGAGGCAGUUGUUGAUGUUGAGGGAGGUGUCGCAUCAAUAAGACGCUCCAGAACUGUCUGUGACAGCUGUGUAGUGUGUGUGGACACGGAUUCUCACAUAAGAAUCACAAAAAAAAAAUUCAAUUUUUUAAAAUCGAUUUUCAUAAUCGAUUUUCAAUUAGCAAAAAUCGAAGUGAUACAAAAAAAAAAUAAAUCGAUAAAUCGAUUAGCAAAAAUCGAAUUUCGUUUACCAUUAGCAGAUAUCAAUAAUCGAAUUUGUCCACGUGUAAAUCAAAUCGAUUAUUAGAAAUCGAUCUUCAAAAAUCGAAAAAUUUUCCAUUAAAUUUUUUUUAUGUUAGCAUCACUCAGCAUCACUCUCAGCAGUCCGCUGUCUUCCUAGCUAAAUCUGAAGGAACUUCAAAAUCUUCACCAGACUAUAUUAGCUGCCUUACCCAACUUCACGUGAGAGGCUCUGCUGAUAAUUUUAACCUCAAUGGGUUAGAUAGGGAUGGGGAAUACUUUUUAUCACGGCACAGGGACCAUUAUCGUGGAAGGUUUGUCAUCGAUCGUUUUUAACAACAAUGCCAGAGUGCCAGAGUACGAUUCCUGGGAUUCUGCCACUGCAAUUUUCAUCAUGCUUAAUGCGAUCAUCAGGAUCAAUCACAUACACAAUAAUACAAACUGACAAACAACUAUAUGUGAGUAUAAUUUAUAUGUGAGCAUUAAAUUUAUGAACAAAGUUACUAUAGAAAGACACAAGAAUAGUCUAAACAAUAGUCUAAACAUAAACACACAAUCUAGCUAGUAGAUCAUCUAGCUAAGCUAUAGUACUUGCUGCAGGCAAAGUUUUAUUGAGCAGUCCAACAUCUCUAGCUCAGUAUGCCCACGCUACCUUCUACCACCCUUCUACCCUCACGCGACUUCCCGAUACAGGCUCUUCUUUUUCCUAACUCUACGUCUACUCCAUAAUUAUAUUAUCUUAUUGAACGAUUGUGAUAAAGAACAGAAAUUUCUCUAAUCAGAAUACUCACUCAACUGGCGCAUACGAAGGGCAUGAAUAGCGUGGCAUCUUCCAAAACCCAGGGCCCUAUUUAUGUGUACACAUAAUGAAGACAGAAGAGGUGCAUGUCAUUUAGAGGGUCGCAAUUUCAUUUCGUGACAGCAUUUAUUUUGGACCACGCCAUAGCCGUAAGACCACGAUGUUGUAGCACCACAAUCCACAAUCUGUACGCACUUCUCAGGCGGGCCUCCAUGGGUCACUGAAAGGAAAUAAUAUACAUUGUUAUGGUUAUGGAAGUUAGGAAGGAAGUUAGGAUCAUGUGUCAACAGUUUCAUGAGCUGUCUGACUUCUUUCACACCCCAAGCUGUACAUCACCCCAACAUUGAUCGCUGAACCACGAAUAUUUUGUAAAUGGUUACCCCAGAAUUUCAACUAUUUUUUUUAGUUACUUUCUUUCACUAAACUGUUUUUACUAUUGCUAUACUGUAUGUACCAGCUGAUAGUUGACAAACACUCUCUGGGACAAAAACCAGCUCUUACUUCGUGUAGCACUAAUAGCGCAUGCAUUGCAGAAUGCAGAGGAGGCGCUUACAAUGGCUUCAAUGUAAAAGGGCUUGCCAGCUCAGCACUGCAGAAGCUAUACAGGAAGUAGUUAGUGGGCGUUUAAAAAUCAAACAAAACUGUUAAAAGAAUCAAAUCAUUGUGCUGCUCAGCAAGAACUUAACUUUAAUCGACCUAGUGAUCCACGAUUAUUGACGAUUAUUGUGAUGGAAGUCUUUUCAGAUUGAACAAGGACGCCUUACAAAUAAUUGCCUAAUCCAAUAGGAUCGUAUGCACGAAAGCAUAAGUUGGGUUGUUACAUAAUACAGCCCAAUCACAGCCCAAUCGCUAAAAGCAAUAUGGUAUUGAUGAUUUUGAUGGAAUAUUACGGUGCACUCAUUUCUUUUCUUUCGGAUACGCUAGCAGCUCAAAGGUACACCGGAGGAACACAAAGCUGUCAGUCAAACGACCGAAACUCAAUAGGUAGCUCCCACAUGACUUGAUGCAUGACAACUCAGUGCCACUGUAUAUAUUUUGAAAUGUGUGAAUUGAAUGAAAGAAUUUCAGCCCGGAAUAAAUGAAACAUGCGCUCUGAUUUAAAAAUCUCAACUAAGGUUUCUCUAGAUCUACGGAGAUGAGGAGUCUGAUGAGGAGUCUGGCGCGUAGGUGCUCCUCCGUGUAGGUGCUCCUCCGGAUCCUCUCUUAGGCUCUUAGGCUGAAUAGCGCCGACUCAGCACAUUUAUAGCGCACUGGCUGCCAACUGCGGUAUUUGUGAUCCCUAGACUAAUCUGUUUGAAGAACAUGAAAUGAAAAUUUUUUUGUAAGGUCUGGCUGUGAAGUAUUGUUUGAAAUUUGCAAUAUAUAGCAAUUACAGUUGCACUACCGGCGCGCAAAUAAUUUGAAGCAUGGUGUUACUAUGGGCAUGCGCAAAGCAGCAGUACCUAUAGGCAUGCGCAAAGCAGGCCACAUGCUGUUGUUCCGUCCCUGCAUGGCUUUUCCUGCAUGGCUUUUCCUUGGACACACUUGAGCAGAUUGAAGGACUGGUAACUAUUUAUAUCUGUCUACUAUUAAUUUUCCUUUGUCCUACGCCUGUGUUAAAUAGGUCUCAAUAAAGAGCAGGUACACGUGUGUCACUGUGAUGUUUAAUAAUUAUAAUGCCAUAAUAAUAUUAUUUAUACCCAAUAUAGGUGACGACAGAAGAAGGAUUUAGCAGAAGGCCCGUUUAGAAAGUAGCUAUGAUAAUUAAUUUACGUUAAGGUCCGUUUUCAUUGGCACUGUCACAAAUGUUUAAGUGAUUAGUUUGCCUGAAAAUAUAGAAAUACUGAACUCUUAUGUGUUGCAAUAGAAAUGCUAUGUGCUCUGCUUCAACUUGUGCUCUGCUUCAACUACCUAAUGGUCUUGUGUACCGAUCUCCAAAGUGUAUCGAUUUAUUAGGGAUUUAUUAGGCUACAUGCAUCCCCUGUUGCAGCAUCUAAAAAGCUUUAAUGUAUCUAUUGUCCUAGGACAUUCUAACUAACACUAAUUCACAAGAAGUAUUAAUGCUUUCGUCACGGUUAUUCUCAACUUAGUGCACCACUAGACCGCAAUAGCCUAGCACCAGAGCGUGUUCGGUGUACUACUCGGAUCACGAUGCAGUUCUCUGCUCCAUUCCCUUAGCUACGUCUGUAGAAUAUCGUUCAGUAAGCCUUAAGUAAAUUGUGUCCUGAAUGUCUGUUAGUCUAUCACUAUAAGUUAGUCUAUCACUAUAAUUAUAAUUAUCGUGUUCUCCAUGCGAGAUCAUGAUAUGCAAAGAAGCUCAGAAACUCAGACCUUAAACUUUUUUGUUGUUGCUGCCUGGGUGUCACUGCCUGGGUGUCACUACCCCACUCACUACCCCACUGAGCAAGAUGACCACCAUCUCACGCGUUUUACCUUUGUACAGUGUGCAAAAGUUGUACACUCUUGUAAGUUGUGCACUCUUGUAAGUAUCUUAUACUAUUAUUUAAAUACUAUUAUUUAAUGCCUCCCAUACUUAUGCACGGCUUCCUACUUACACUGCAGAUUUCCAACAGUAUGACCAACAGUAUGCACAAUAAUGUGUUACUAUAAUAUUAUUGUACUUGUAUUUGUAGAUAUUAUAUUGCGGGAUAGUAGGAUACCUCCCAAAGGCUACCAGCUUUAUGCCAGACGCUGAUGAACUGUCUGGGACUGAGGACAUGCAUGACAUGGACCUAGACGCUAGCACUAUGGACCAGGACGGUGAAAGACCAGGAGAGGGCUCACUGUGUGACUCUGGCAAGUAGUAUAGUAUAGCUAGAAUAUCAGUAGUGUAAGUAUAGUAUAGCUAAAAUAAUUAGCAGUAAUGAACAGUCUUUAUGUGAGCUAUAGAUCGUUCACCGAUAUAGUAUACAUACCGAUAUAGUAUACAUGUACGUAUUGUACUUCAAAUUGAUAUAUCUUAGCACUUCAUAUUAUGAUGUGAAAAUCAAGCUUACUUUAUACCAUAAUUAUGAUAGGCUGAUCCAUAAAAAAAAUUUUUGGCUCACCGCUGGCCGAAUGAUAAAAACGGUGGAGCGUAAUAACUCACAUGUUGCACCAUUUUAUUCCUUGUUGUAUGGGCAUUCUAUUGGUAUAUGGUUGCUAGGCAUUUUAUUGCUCUGGAAACCCAAUAGAGAAUUUACAGACAUUUCACUUCACUGUUAAUUAAGAAUCUGACGGUUAAAGGGUUAAGGUCAAUUUAGAUCUAAUGUCAAAUGAAUGUCAAAAUCAGUUCAGUUCAAAUCAGAGUAUACAUCAACAGAUGUUUCGAUAAUCUUUUCCACGCUUUUUUCUUCACCAUUAAUCUCACCAUUAAUCUUGAAUGCAGUGGUCACGGAAUGCAGAGUAGAUUUGUGCUAAAUCUUACCAACAUUUACCAACAUGAGUCGUGCAAACAGCCACAUGGUUCUACAGCGGCCACAAUCACUAGCACCAUCAGGCCCAUUACAUUGUUGAAAAUUCAACUACUCCUGUUCACUAUCGCAUCGUUCAGUUCUCCAAAACGUACACAUCCACCUUCACAGCUCAGUGAUAGCUUGCAUCCCAUUGAAUUCUUUUAUCAUAAAACUUGAAGUGUCUCCCCAAUUGUAGUUUCGUUUCAAUCAGCAAAAAUCAUAACACUACCAUCACUGAGAACAACACUUUCACCGAUACAGUAUCAAAUACACACUUGUCUUUCACAUGACGAAUACCGUAUUUGAUUUCAUUACGAUCUCAAGCUCAUCUUCUCUUUUCGCACACUUCAACUCAAUAUUUCCCUUAACCCCUUAACCCUUUAACUGUCACGGGCCACGAUUGUGGCCCGCAAUAAGUGACUUUUUUUGCGAAAUUCUAAUUCUGCGUUACUUAGGAAGUAGCUCGAACUACGCAGUAUAGAGGAAGAGCUGUAGAAUCACGUGCAAUUUAGUCUAGAAUUUUCCAAGCCACGUUGCUAUGUUAAAAUUUCAUUAGCAUCUUACUGAUUAGCAUCUUACUGCACGAUGAGGACAGCAAUGGCGAUGUCUCCUCAUGGCGAUGUCUCCUCUGGUGCCUAUGAAGGAGAAGGGAUAGUAACCAGCUUUAUGCCAGACGCUGAUGAACUGUCUGGGACUGAGGACAUGCAUGACAUAGACCUAUAGACGCUAGCGAAAGGUCCAAAUACAAACCUUGAUCUCCUUUUGGAGGGCACGAGCUAGCUCCUGAAUUUUAGGGAGUCUAUCUUUAUACCCCCCUCGAACGCUUUCAACAGCUCUUCUUCUACCUUAGCUUUUCUGCUGGCUAUAGUAUAUUCACUGGAUUUGGCCUAUAGUAGCCAUGGAAAUUGCUAGAUGGAUGAUGUCAUCCUAUUAUGCCUAGACCCGACAGUACGCGGGUAAUACAGUACACGGGUAAUACCGUGUGAAGCGAGUAGUGCAUACUGCUGGUUUUUGUGGUUUAUGUGAAAAGAACUGUUUGCAGAUACUGGUUGCUGUUGCUGUUGCUGAUUGCUGUUUGAUUGUACUGUUGUUGCUGUUGCUGAUUCGAUUGCGGUUGCUGUUGGUGUUGCUGAUUCGAUGGUGCGGGUGCAGAUGGCGAGAAAAAGGCCCAGGAUUGUGACAGAUUUCGAAGAAGAGCCAUCCACCAGUGCAGAUGUGCACGGUGCCUUGUCACCUCUCAAAAAAGGGCUGGAGCGAAGUACUAUGGAAAACGGAGUUUGCAUUUCUGAAAUUUAACCCCUAGAAAUGUCUGUAAAUUCUCUAUCGGGAGCAAUAAAAUGCCGCAACCAUAUACCAAUAGAAUGCCCAUAAUAGAAUGCCCAUACAACAAGGAAUAAAAUGGUGCAACAUGUGUUGCCAUAGCAACCACGGUUAUUGCGCCCACCUGUUUUUAUCAUUUUUUAAAUGCCCGACCAGCGGUGAGAUAAAAUCCAAAAAAAUUCCUAUCAUAUGGUUGACUAAGCUAGUGCUCUUGACAUCAGAGGGCUCAGCCGGUGAACGAUCUAUGAAAUUUACAAGCUCACUGCUAAUUCUAUUUUAGCUUACUACUGAUAUAUUCUAGCUAUACUAUACUACUUACCAGAGCUAGCUCGUACCCUACAAAAGGAAGAGAAUGAGAUCAAGGUUUGUAUUUGGACCUGUAAACACCGCAAUACCUCGAUUUAAAGCAUAGAUUUUAAGCCACACUUUUUCAUUUGGAGGUUGAAAAUUAUGUUAAGUCCUGGUGUCACGGGUCGGGUCGCAUCUAAUUGGGUCGCAUCUAAUUGGAAGCUCUACAGACUAGGCCGCUUAAAGGCUCAAAAAAAUAUAUUGUCGCUGAGGUCGCAUAUUUGGAGGGUCGCACACACACCACACACAUACUCCCAUCCCUCCACACACACACACACACUCCACACACACACACACACACUUCCCUCCACACACAAUCGAGGUCUCACGGUACUAUGUUUUUGCUUAUUACAGUCUCACUACGAUCUGUCUUCUGUCUUUUACCUCAUUGCCUUACAUUUUGCGUUUACACGCAGUUGGUUAGUGUUCCUGUGACAGUGUCCAAAUAACGCCAUAGUCAUACUUCUACACAAAACAAACACUGCAUGUGCACAAAGUACUAUGACUCACACGUGAUAAGUAUUGUAGUAAUCUUGUAAUCUCCUAGUAAAUGUUUUUUUUAGGGUUGUGGUACAAUUCUAGCUAGUUGUUCGCGUUCAACGUUCUAGAGCUGCCCGAUAGGAGACGAUCUCUUCACAAAAAUCGUCUAAAUAGGUCAAGUUGAUUGACUUCUGUGCGUUGCAUUAUUAUACACAAACGUCAUCAAUUGCGAGUUGCUCACGUGCAAUUGACAGGAUGUCAAGUAUCAGUAGUUCACCAAUAAAGAUGUCUGACAACACAGGCUGGCCCAGUUCCAACAGUUUUGAUUGAAGCAUGCGCAUUUGUGAUAGUAUAUCAGACAAAUGCAUGUUUAUUGUGUCUACACAAAAAUAAAUGACAUGUGACAUAGAGCACAAAAAUGAAGUAAAGUCACUACCAUUAAAGUCACUACCAUUACACAGGAAACUUCUUCAAUCUUGACCACACCUCUUUUCAAUUUUUGCACUAAAUGACACGUUUGAAACGCUUGUGCCUUCUGUUUAAUGAACUGUAUUGAAUGUGGGUGGGAUGUGUGUUAAGCAUGGGCAGAUGGCACAAGUAAGAUGUAUGCGUCUACACAUGACAGUUGCUGUGACAGUCCAUCCUGACUUCACGUACGUACCUCACCACCACACCUCAGGUGGCUGAUUAUUUGCUUCUGAGCGUGUUCUGAGCGUGUUUGGAAAGCCCCCUAUGCGUACACGUGGCUUCAAAAAGCAUGACUUUUUUCCUGUGAAAGGAAACAUUGGAAUUUCAAUGUGACGAAAGGUACGGCAAUCUCUGAUCUGGGAGAGGAGAGAAGAGAAGAGAAUCGUGCUGCUUCUGUGAAAUGGAAGGUAUGAACAACAGAUUCCCACCGAGUCAUCUGCUCCUGGACCAAGCACCCACCAUGACAAGUGACAUGAAACACAAAGGGUGUUGAGCUGUACAUAGGUGUUGAGCUGUACAUACACUCAAAACAACUUGUUAUUCUUAGUAUAAUUAUAAUAGCAAAGUCCACUUUUUUGUGUGCGUGUGUGUGUCGUGUGCCGCGUGCCGCAUGCAUGUACAUUUUUAUCGCAAUGCAGUGUCAGAAAAAUUUGGUGUCCGUACAUUGUGUGCAAUGACAAGAAAAGAAAACUAUGUGGAAGGUUCCAAAGUGGGCGAGAGUACUUGGAAUCUAAUCCGCACAUCCCCACAUCGUUCACUAAACCCGGUGUCACACCCGUACCUCCUGAGCCAUCUGGUGUUGGUUCAGCAGCAGCUUAGUGCUAAAUAUUCUUUUUAGCUCUUGCUGUUGGAGAUUCACAAGCAAGGGUACCAUACAAAGCCUGCAUGCCUCCUGGGAUAUCUCUGACCCAUCCUUCAAAUCUAAGUCUGGAAGCUGUUUACAAUAGCUUGUUGGUGUGCCUCUAAAGCCAUUGUACACUGAGACUGAACACUCCUACACGUGUACGACAGUCUAGCACACAAGGGUACACAACUUUGUCAAAAAAAGGGGCUGAGGAUGACGUUGCAUUAUCAGAGACAACAUCAAACUGUAUUUUUGGUGCGACUGUUCAACUUCUCUCCGAGUCGUACGCAACAGUCGUACGCACCAGUCGGCACUGGUGUAACGAGUAGGGUGCACUGCCAUGACAUCCCUGACGGCUUUAUUCGAGUGACUGUGAGCAAGUGAGAGGGACCGAUGAAGACUUAGCCAAAGGUUGCAUGGCCUCUAAAAUUGACUCGUAAAUUGACUCGUAAAACAUAGUUUACCUCCGAAUUUAUGAUUAGUGUAUGUAACAUUUGCA